GUGCACCAGUCGCGAAAACUCCGCAAUACGCGAAAGCGUGACGGGGCUACCCCGAGUGUCGUCCGCUGAGGACGACUUUUCCACGCUGUAAGGAGGCGUGGGAAUAAGGAGAGGGCAAGUCUGGUGUCAGCCGCCGCGGUAAUACCAGCUCUCCGAGUGGUAGGGACGAUUAUUGGGCUUAAAGCGUCCGUAGCCGGCUCAGCAAGUCUCCCGUUAAAUCCAACGAUUCAAUCGUUGGACUGCGGGAGAUACUGUUGAGCUAGGAGGCGGGAGAGGCCGACGGUAUUCCCGGAGUAGGGGUGAAAUCCUAUAAUCCUGGGGGGACCGCCAGUGGCGAAGGCGUUCGACUAGAACAGGCUUGACGGUGAGGGACGAAAGCCAGGGGCGCGAACCGGAUUAGAUACCCGUGUAGUCC
rnacentral:rRNA from 1 species